rnacentral:rRNA from 1 species
UACGUAGGGUGCAAGCGUUAAUCGGAAUUACUGGGCGUAAAGCGUGCGCAGGCGGUUCGCUAAGAUAGAUGUGAAAUCCCCGGGCUUAACCUGGGAACUGCAUUUGUGACUGGCGGGCUAGAGUAUGGCAGAGGGGGGUAGAAUUCCACGUGUAGCAGUGAAAUGCGUAGAGAUGUGGAGGAAUACCGAUGGCGAAGGCAGCCCCCCUGGGAUAACACUGACGCUCAUGCACGAAAGCGUGGGGAGCAAACAGG